AAUUCUUUUUUAGUACAAAACUUUUUUUUUUAGUAUAGCGAUGUCCCCAAAAUUGCAUGGGACAUACUUAUACUAAAAAAAGAGAUCCGCUGUGUAUCUGAAAAAUCAAGUUUUACUGGGUGUCCUGUGU
rnacentral:miRNA from 1 species